UACGUAGGGGGCAAGCGUUGUCCGGAUUUAUUGGGCGUAAAGCGCUCGCAGGCGGCUCGAUGCGUCGUGCGUGAAAGACCCCGGCUCAACUGGGAGGGUCGUGCGAUACGGUCGAGCUCGAGGCCAGUAGGGGGACGCGGAAUUCCGGGUGUAGUGGUGAAAUGCGUAGAGAUCGGGAGGAACACCUGUGGCGAAGGCGGCCCCCUGG
rnacentral:rRNA from 1 species